rnacentral:rRNA from 1 species
GACGAACGCUGGCGGCGCGCCUAACACAUGCAAGUCGAACGAGCGAGAGAGAGCUUACUUUCUCGAGCGAGUGGCGGACGGGUGAGUAACGCGUGAGGAACCUGCCUCAAAGAGGGGGACAACAGUUGGAAACGACUGCUAAUACCGCAUAAGCCCACGGCUCGGCAUCGAGCAGAGGGAAAAGGAGCAAUCCGCUUUGAGAUGGCCUCGCGUCCGAUUAGCUAGUUGGUGAGGUAACGGCCCACCAAGGCGACGAUCGGUAGCCGGACUGAGAGGUUGAACGGCCACAUUGGGACUGAGACACGGCCCAGACUCCUACGGGAGGCAGCAGUGGGGAAUAUUGCACAAUGGGGGAAACCCUGAUGCAGCGACGCCGCGUGGAGGAAGAAGGUCUUCGGAUUGUAAACUCCUGUUGUUGAGGAAGAUAAUGACGGUACUCAACAAGGAAGUGACGGCUAACUACGUGCCAGCAGCCGCGGUAAAACGUAGGUCACAAGCGUUGUCCGGAAUUACUGGGUGUAAAGGGAGCGCAGGCGGGAAGACAAGUUGGAAGUGAAAUCCAUGGGCUCAACCCAUGAACUGCUUUCAAAACUGUUUUUCUUGAGUAGUGCAGAGGUAGGCGGAAUUCCCGGUGUAGCGGUGGAAUGCGUAGAUAUCGGGAGGAACACCAGUGGCGAAGGCGGCCUACUGGGCACCAACUGACGCUGAGGCUCGAAAGUGUGGGUAGCAAACAGGAUUAGAUACCCUGGUAGUCCACACUGUAAACGAUGAUUACUAGGUGUUGGAGGAUUGACCCCUUCAGUGCCGCAGUUAACACAAUAAGUAAUCCACCUGGGGAGUACGACCGCAAGGUUGAAACUCAAAGGAAUUGACGGGGGCCCGCACAAGCAGUGGAGUAUGUGGUUUAAUUCGACGCAACGCGAAGAACCUUACCAAGUCUUGACAUCCUGCGACGCACAUAGAAAUAUGUGUUUCCUUCGGGACGCAGAGACAGGUGGUGCAUGGUUGUCGUCAGCUCGUGUCGUGAGAUGUUGGGUUAAGUCCCGCAACGAGCGCAACCCUUAUGGUCAGUUACUACGCAAGAGGACUCUGGCCAGACUGCCGUUGACAAAACGGAGGAAGGUGGGGAUGACGUCAAAUCAUCAUGCCCUUUAUGACUUGGGCUACACACGUACUACAAUGGCGUUAAACAAAGAGAAGCAAGACCGCGAGGUGGAGCAAAACUCAGAAACAACGUCCCAGUUCGGACUGCAGGCUGCAACUCGCCUGCACGAAGUCGGAAUUGCUCGUAAUCGCAGAUCAGCAUGCUGCGGUGAAUACGUUCCCGGGCCU